GGGACUCCAGAACCGACUGCUGAAACCACAAGAAGCAGUAAAAAUCAAAGAGGAUCCAGCAGGAGGGUGCUGGAAUGGACGGAGCUCGAGAGCGAGAGCGCAGAGGAGGCUUGGGAAAGUUGUCUGGGUGUAUCCAGGAGCCAAGGCUGCCGAGGGAACUGCAGUGCGGGGUGAAGUGGAGGGGUAGGGUCCGCUCAGGAUCUUAGGGAUCGUCUCUGCAAAAAGAAAACAGCGGGAUGGUCGCCUCAUGUUUGGAAAUUUGUCGGGCUAUACAGCUGUGUCUUAGGUGCAAACUGGAGAUCGACCGGGGACGGUGGCGGGGGAAGAUGGUCGUAUCCUUUUUCCUUACUGGGAUGUUUCACUCAGAGGACAACAACCUGUCAUACAGCUCUGAGGAACAGACACUGUGAUACUCCGUCCCUGGCUGUGACCUAGGUGCCGAGUGGUGAGACGCUGGCUGGGCUUGGGAAAGGAGCAAUGCCCAGAUUUCCCCACUGAGAGCUCAGUGUAGUUCCAAGGCCUGUGUUCUGCCCACAUGGUGACUUGCCUUAAUUCUCGAUGGCCAUUGCUUUAACGGGAGCUACAGGCCUUUGCUCUGGAUAGCCAUCUCUGUGUGAUAAAGACACCACACAACUUAACAGUUUAGAAGCAAGAGAACCUAUUUACUCAGCUCAUGAAUUUUCAAUUUGAAAGUGAGCAAUUGAGUUGGCAGUUUCUACUUUUUGGAAAUCUGGGGCUGUCUCUAAGAACUCCCAAAGAUUGGUGGAGAUAAAAGUGACAGUGGCGGUUAAAUCUGGGUGUUGAUAUGACUGGAUUGAAGGGUGCCCAGAGAACUGGCAGCAUGUGUCUCUGGGUGCUCCCCGAGAAAGCUCUUGGGAACUUCAGCAAACUAAGUGGCAAGACUACUUCUCAGCAUGAACCCUGCAUCCCCUGGGCUGAGGCCGACACAGGGAAAAGUGCAGGGUAUAAUAGCUGUCGUCUCUGCUCAACCCUUCUGGAGUAGACUUAGGUUUUGCACUGUUGUUACCUCCAGAAACUAAGACAGUGGGGUCUCCCUCUUUGGAAUGUGAUGGGCACCAGCGCCAAUCCAAGACCUUUCUCAGCUCCCUCCUUAGUCUGUGGUUCCAUGAAGUCGUCCUCUCCCUCAAUGUGAGACUUUAAGAUUCUCAAAUUAAACACUCUGUCUGUCUUUCUAACAAGAACAUAACUCCAGUGUGACUUUGCAGCCCCUGAGAUCUUGUGAGCCAGUUUACUGAGUCUCUCUUACAGUGGCAGAUGGCCUAUCCUGUUCCUCCAGAUAACCCUCAUUGACACAGUGACCCAGCAACUACAGUAGAAGUCACCAAAAGGUUCGUUUACUCUUAGAUCUGAUGAUCUUUCUGGUCACCUGCUACCAUUGUCCAAAGCAUCCAAACAUGGCCUUUCUAUGUGGUGGGCUUUCUCAUUCCAACCCCAAGAGCUGAGGUCUUCAGAGUCCAUGGAUAACCUUUCUCACAGGUUACAUGGAGAAAUUCAUGGUACAGUCACUGUAUUCUAUUUAAUUAGAAGGGAAUUUACAGCUUGCUUUGGAAGGCUGUGUUUACAUAGCAUUAAGAUAAUGGAGAAGACAUCUUCAGUGCACUUUUGGUGAAUGCAAUCUCCUUUAGGAUUUACUCUGUGAUUGCAGAGCAAGCUUAAAACACUAAUACCCUGGAAAGAAGUUGCUUAUUCAAGAUUAGGUAAAGGAAGCUGUAAAGCUUUUAAUAGGGUGGGGAUGAAAUUGAAAAGACAAUUUGAAGAGUUACCUUGGAUCUCAAGGGUCUUCUUUUCUAACCCCCACCUCCCCUGAAACAUAUAACUCAGUGAAAUAUUUAUCUUUGUCUGAUGAAGCAGCUCACUCCUACUGAUGACUACAAGGUCGCCUUCUCUCCAGGGGACACGAGCUCCAAGAUGGAGACAGUCACUCAGCACAAUGAGCUGCCCAGGCAGUAGAAAACCUAAUGGGACAGAACAUGGUCUCAUUUUCUGAGACUAAACCAUCGUACAAUUUUUAUAUUUGAUGAGAGUUCCCACUUGGCACUCCCUGGAGCACUGUUGAGAACUUCUAUUUAAGAGGCAGCUUUGUGAGACUGGCUUGGAUCUUCGGGAGGCUGGCUGCCUCAGCAGGACCUGAACACACUGCUCUGUGGAUCUGUGAGGGAAACGAAGGUACGGGCUGUCCCCAACACAGUUCCACUUGACUGCAACAUGACAAGACCAUGACCUGGAGAAGUGAGAUGUGUUCUGGUUAACCUUCUUAGUCAAGGUCACUGGAAUGACAGAUGCCCAGUACUUCUUUUAUCAGGACAUAUUUGUGAAGACAUUCCCAGAGAGAACAGAUAUGUGGAACAGUAACUCCAUGGGGCAGACCUUCCCACAAUGCUGUCAGCACCAUUCAAUAUUCUGGGCAUUGGGGCGGAAUAAAAGUAGAGGAUGGAAGAAACCAGCACAUACACACAGAUUCAUGCAUGCAGCAUAUUUUAUUCUGAAGCAAGCUCACCUAUUGCUGCAGCCAUAAUCCAUGAACAUCAGAGUCCAGAGUCCUCGGUCUUCUGUGUGGACUCACAGCAGCCACUCUUUAGUAAGCUUCUGUGCCUUUCAGUGUUGCGUUAAGUCUGUAUACAAUAUGGCCCCAUCCUGUAAUCCAUGGUGAGUCUUCCAAAUUCCUGGACCCAGUGCCUUCUUCACUUUUCAUUUUUUCCAGCAUGCAGACAACUAUUCUUGGUCUACCCAACCUCCCACUUUGUAAAGCAAUACAAGAAAACACUUUGAUGAUUGCAAUUCUAUAUAUUCCACUGAUUUUCUCUCUCCAGAGAAUCCUAACUUAUACAGAUGUUAAAGGUGAAAUGAACUGUUUAUUCAUGCAAAGAACCCAGGUUCUGUUCCCAAAUACAGACAUCAGACAGCUCACAACCUGCAACUGCAGUUUCAGGGGGAGUCUGAUGCCCUCUUAUGGCCUCUGUGGGUAAUACAUGCACAUGUUAUGUUGCACAUACAUACAUGCACACACAUAUAAAUCAGGAUAAAAUAAAUGCUUAAAAAGCAAAACAAA